GUGGUGGCUCAGUGGUACAGACUUGCCUGGCAUGUGUGAGGCCCUGGGUUCAAUUCUCAGCACCACA
rnacentral:tRNA from 1 species